GGGAGUAUAGUAUUAACUGGAUAAAAUGUCUGACUGGCGAAAGGUCAGGAGUUGGGGGUUCGAAUCCCUCUACUUCCA
rnacentral:tRNA from 1 species